rnacentral:lncRNA from 1 species
AGGAUGUCUGAGAGGAGAGCAUGGUGUUUUUGCUUCAUUGGAUCCAUGCAGGUCUUGGAGGGUGGUGGCCCACUCUUUCUGGGCCAAGUAGAGGGUGGCUCAGACACCCCCCCUUCCUCCAGGCUUCUCAUCUGUAACUGGUGAAGCCCGGAAGAGCUUGUUGUUCAAGAGGAAAUCUUGUGUUACUUCUUUAUGAAGGACUCCAGCCUGGUGGAGAUGAAUGAGUCCUGAAGAUGGAAUCGAAGCUGUUUGGGCACAAACAAGGUUUCACUCUUGUUGCCCAGGCUGGAGUGCAAUGGUGUGAUCUAGGCUCACUGCAACCUCCACCUCCCGGGUUCAAGUGAUUCUCCUGUCUCAGGCUCCCAAGUAGGUGGGAUUACAGUACUUUAAUCAGCAUUUAAUGACCCAGUCGAAAAUUCAUUGUUUGGACCCAAGCACUGGUGGGAAAGGCAGGAGGGGAGGCCUGCCUUCCUUCCUCCCUCCCGAGCCCUACAGCAGGCCAUGGAGUGGUGAGCGAGUUCGUACAGUGCCAACCACAUUCCCAGAAACUUCCAGCAGAGGUUAAUCCUGCUCCUCUCAGGAAAAAGUGAUUCAGCUCCGGUCCACCCUGGGUGCAGCGGUCCUUCUGCCAAGAUGCCUUCAUAUCAUACAGCUAUUAUUUUCGGGAGGAUUCCAAGUGAGGGCAGUCAGGGUGGGCUUGGCCCAUUCUCUAGACUUUGGAAGGUAAUGUUCUAUAGAGGCCUGUUCUGAAGCUUUACCAGGUCAAACCGGAGAAGAACCCAACAAGUAACUCAUCCCAGCCUAACUAUUCUUCAAGGGCAAUCAACCUACAGCAUCCAAGCACAGAGAAAUCAAAUCCAUGGAGAAUCUUCAAAUUAGGCUCAGAAUCCAUUUGGGUCAAUGAAUUUACUGUUAUUAAGAUCUUAGUUGUGUUCAACCAUGAUUUGACAUACCUUAGAGUGAGAAGAUAUUCUUCCUGGCCUCAGACUAGUUGAAGGUAGAGAGAGAGACAGGCCCUUGGGUGUGGGGAGACCUCUCCUGGGAUAAUACACACAAAAAACCAAGAGCUGCUCACUGUGGUGCAGGAGACAGCAGGGCCUGAAGCCAGAGGCUCUGUGUCCUUGAAUACAAUGUUUUACUCCUCUGACCCCUGUUACUGUGAUUUGGAGAGGCAGACAAUAUAGGAUGGGCUUUGCAGGCAGGGAGGUCCAGUUAUAAUCCCAGCUCUUACUAAGUUGGGUAAGACUCACUCUGAGACUUAGUUUCUUCUGUCAUCUCUCAAUAGAAUCAUAAAGGUACUUUCCUCUUAGUGUUGUUUUAAAAUUCAGUAAAAUAAUGCAGGCUUAGCACAGGGUCUGAUGUAAAUUUUCAAUGAAUUAUCGUUGUCAAUAUUGUUCUGGAAAACAAGAGGGCAUAUUAGAAGAUCAAAAGUACUGCCAAGCAUUGAAGUGCCAAUUCUAGAUCCAGUCUCAGCCCUCUGAGAAUGGAUAUCAUUGUUUUCAAGCCAUUCAGAAACCAAUGUGAAUUGAACACCUAGUAUGAGCUCUCUGAGGGAAGAGCCAAGUCAUGCAUUUUUUAUCUUAAGGGGUCUUCAAUACCUCUAGCCCAAAACAGUAUCUCCAUCAGGAUUCUUCUCUGAUAGUGUUCAUUUCUUUUUUCUCAAUGGAUGCCUUAAAAAAAAAAUCCUACAAGGAAACCUGUACUCCUCAAAUACACCACUCAGGUGACCAUUAAAUCAUUUACAUUGUUAA